GUGGGGAAUCUUGCGCAAUGGGCGAAAGCCUGACGCAGCCAUGCCGCGUGAAUGAUGAAGGUCUUAGGAUUGUAAAAUUCUUUCACCGGGGACGAUAAUGACGGUACCCGGAGAAGAAGCCCCGGCUAACUUCGUGCCAGCAGCCGCGGUAAUACGAAGGGGGCUAGCGUUGCUCGGAAUUACGGGGCGUAAAGGGCGCGUAGGCGGACAGUUUAGUCAGAGGUGAAAGCCCCGGGCUCAACCUUGGAAUUGCCUUUGAUACUGGCUGUCUUGAGUACGGGAGAGGUGAGUGGAACUCCGAGUGUAGAGGUGAAAUUCGUAGAUAUUCGGAAGAACACCAGUGGCGAAGGCGACUCACUGGCCCGUUACUGACGCUGAGGCGCGAAAGCGUGGGGAGCAAACAGGAUUAGAAACCCUAGUAGUCC
rnacentral:rRNA from 1 species